UGCAAGUCGAACGAUGAACCCCAGCUUGCUGGGGGGAUUAGUGGCGAACGGGUGAGUAACACGUGAGUAACCUGCCCUUAACUCUGGGAUAAGCCUUGGAAACGAGGUCUAAUACUGGAUAUUGACUUUUCCCCGCAUGGGGUUUGGUUGAAAGAUUUAUUGGUUUUGGAUGGACUCGCGGCCUAUCAGCUUGUUGGUGAGGUAAUGGCUCACCAAGGCGACGACGGGUAGCCGGCCUGAGAGGGUGACCGGCCACACUGGGACUGAGACACGGCCCAGACUCCUACGGGAGGCAGCAGUGGGGAAUAUUGCACAAUGGGCGAAAGCCUGAUGCAGCGACGCCGCGUGAGGGAUGACGGCCUUCGGGUUGUAAACCUCUUUCAGUAGGGAACAAGGCCAGCAUUUUUGUUGGUUGAGGGUACUUGCAGAAGAAGCGCCGGCUAACUACGUGCCAGCAGCCGCGGUAAUACGUAGGGCGCAAGCGUUAUCCGGAAUUAUUGGGCGUAAAGAGCUCGUAGGCGGUUUGUCGCGUCUGCCGUGAAAGUCCGGGGCUCAACCCCGGAUCUGCGGUGGGUACGGGCAGACUAGAGUGAUGUAGGGGAGACUGGAAUUCCUGGUGUAGCGGUGAAAUGCGCAGAUAUCAGGAGGAACACCGAUGGCGAAGGCAGGUCUCUGGGCAUUAACUGACGCUGAGGAGCGAAAGCAUGGGGAGCGAACAGGAUUAGAUACCCUGGUAGUCCAUGCCGUAAACGUUGGGCACUAGGUGUGGGGGACAUUCCACGUUUUCCGCGCCGUAGCUAACGCAUUAAGUGCCCCGCCUGGGGAGUACGGCCGCAAGGCUAAAACUCAAAGGAAUUGACGGGGGCCCGCACAAGCGGCGGAGCAUGCGGAUUAAUUCGAUGCAACGCGAAGAACCUUACCAAGGCUUGACAUGAACCGGAAACACCUGGAAACAGGUGCCCCGCUUGC
rnacentral:rRNA from 1 species